rnacentral:rRNA from 1 species
UCUAAGUAUAAGCAAUUAUACCGCGAAACUGCGAAUGGCUCAUUAAAUCAGUUAUCGUUUAUUUGAUAGUACCUUACUACUUGGAUAACCGUGGUAAUUCUAGAGCUAAUACAUGCUAAAAAUCCCGACUUACGGAGGGAUGUAUUUAUUAGAUUAAAAACCAAUGCCCUUCGGGGCUCCUUGGUGAUUCAUAAUAACUUCUCGAAUCGCAUGGCCUUGUGCCGGCGAUGGUUCAUUCAAAUUUCUGCCCUAUCAACUUUCGAUGGCAGGGUCUUGGCCUGCCAUGGUUACAACGGGUAACGGAGGGUUAGGGCUCGACCCCGGAGAAGGAGCCUGAGAAACGGCUACUACAUCCAAGGAAGGCAGCAGGCGCGCAAAUUACCCAAUCCCGAUUCGGGGAGAUAGUGACGAUAAAUACUGAUACAGGGCUCUUUCGGGUCUUGUAAUUGGAAUGAGUACAAUUUAAAUCCCUUAACGAGGAACAAUUGGAGGGCAAGUCUGGUGCCAGCAGCCGCGGUAAUUCCAGCUCCAAUAGCGUAUAUUAAAGUUGUUGCAGUUAAAAAGCUCGUAGUUGAACCUUGGGCCUGGCUGGCCGGUCCGCCUCACCGCGUGCACUGGUUCGGCCGGGCCUUUCCCUCUGGGGAUCCCCAUGCCCUUCACUGGGUGUGGUGGGGAACCAGGACUUUUACUGUGAAAAAAUUAGAGUGUUCAAAGCAGGCAUAUGCUCGAAUACAUUAGCAUGGAAUAAUAAAAUAGGACGUGCGGUUCUAUUUUGUUGGUUUCUAGGACCGCCGUAAUGAUUAAUAGGGACAGUCGGGGGCAUCAGUAUUCAAUUGUCAGAGGUGAAAUUCUUGGAUUUAUUGAAGACUAACUACUGCGAAAGCAUUUGCCAAGGAUGUUUUCAUUAAUCAGGAACGAAAGUUAGGGGAUCGAAGACGAUCAGAUACCGUCGUAGUCUUAACCAUAAACUAUGCCGACUAGGGAUCGGACGAUGUUAUUUUUUGACUCGUUCGGCACCUUACGAGAA